UAAGAUUGAUCCUGUCUUUUAAAUUUUGAUUAGCUUAUAGAUAAUAUUAAAUAUAAAUUUUUGUGUGUUAUGAAUUUUGUCUAAAGGACUUAUUUUUAUUUUAUUUGUAGUUUUUAAUUUUGAAUAUUGUAUAAUUACAGAUUCAGUUAAUUUAUUUAGAAUUGUUUAAGGUUGUGCCAGCAUACGCGGUUAUACAUCCGAUUCAGGUUAAUUUUUUUGGUUUUUAUUUAUUUAUAUUUUUGAAAAUUAAUUUUUUUUUAUAAAGUGAAAUUUUUAAUUUAAAUUAUAUUUUUUUGGUUUUAGAUAAUAAGAAAUUUAGGAUUUAAACUAGGAUUAGAUACCCUAUUAUUCUAAAUGUAAAAGUUUAACCAUAGUAUUAAUAGUUAUGAUCUUUAAAUUAAAAGGAUUUGGCGGUAAUUUAGUCUUUUCAGAGGAACCUGUUCUGUAAUUGAUAAUCCACGUUGGAUUUAACUUUAGUUUUUGUUUGUAUAUCUCUGUCAUUGAAUGUUCUAUUAGGAUUAAUUUUCUUGAAUUAUUUAUUUAAUUAAUGUCAGGUCAAGGUGCAGCUAUAUUAAAGGUUGAAAUGGGUUACAUUUAAUGUUAAUUUAUUGGAACAUUAUUGUUGGAUAUUAAUUUAAUGUGAAAAAGGAUUUGAAAGUAAUUUUUAUUAUUUUAUAAAAAUGAUUUUAGCUCUAAAUUAUGUACACAUCGCCCGUCGUUCUCAUUAUUAAGAUGAGAUAAGUCGUAACAAAGUAAUUUUACCGGAAGGUGAAGUUGGAAAUAUA
rnacentral:ncRNA from 1 species